GUAGGUAGAGAAUUCUAAGCAGAGGGGGCUGUCAUGCAAAGGCCAUGAGGUGCAAAUGUGCCACUGUUUUGAGCAGAAGAGUGACAGGGGGUCUGAUUUAGGAUUUAACAGCAUCCCUUUGGCUGCUAGAUGGAGAAUGAAGUGGAUGGGGAGGAACGAGAUGACACAGAAUGAUCAACGAGGAGGCUGUUGCCACAUCCCAGCUCCCUGGCCUGGGGCCAUGCACUUAACCUCCCUGAACUUGUUUGGUCAUCUGUGUAAUGGAGCAGCUAACACUCACCUCACAGGACCACCCACAGGGUUAGAGAAAAUGCAUGGAAAUCCAUCUGCACAGGACCUGACGCAUGCCCAGAGCUUGCCUGCAAACACCACCAGGGAGCCAGAGAUGAAGGGUAGGCAGUGAUUCAUCUCCCUUUGCCAUGACGUGC